GUGACCUGGGGGCGCUGGGUCUGUCCUGGGCUGCCAGAAGCGAGUUACCGUCUCAUCCUAGCCAGUGUGAGGGAGCUAGAGCAAAAGAAAGCUUUGAUAGCAGCCUAUAAUUUAUAUUCAGCCGUAUGCUGGGCAGGCCCAACUUGGCAUUUCCUGGUUGUGUCUCUGAAGGAAAGUUAUCCUAAUCUUUAUAAGCUUCCAUUUCCUCAGCUGUAAAAUGGGAAUAUCUUCCUCACAUUGCUGUGGCCCAGAACCAUAUCCUGCUCCACAAGCCUCACCCCUGGCAAGGAGUUGCACCUGCUCAGAGAGAAAACCUUUUCAAACUGGCACAAAAGCACUGGAGAGAUGGGCAAGGCCUCCACUUGAUGAUCUGGCUCAUCCAUUUGCAGCUCUGACCAUGCUAAUAGCUGUCUGCAGUGAUGGAAACCUUCUCCAGCUGUGCUGUCCUCUAGAAUAGCACUAGCCACCUGUGGCUACUGAGCACUUCAAAUGUGGCUGCAGAGACGGAGGAUCUGUAUGUUAAAUUGCAUUUCAUCAUAAUUUAAUUUUAAACAACCACAUGUGGCUGGUUUCUGUACUGGGCAGUGCAGUACAUCUACCUGGCCAUGUAUGGUAAGCUCCAUAAGAGGCCAAUUGUGCCUGGUUUACUUAUAGGCUUAUCCUCAGCACCUGCACCAGCCUAGAACAUGAUUGGCACUCUAUUAAUUAAAAGUUGCCAGGUAAAUGAAUUGGUGGAUUCUCUUGUUUCCUCCACUAUGCUACAACCUCCUUAAGAGCAGAGAUGGUAUCUUUUAAAAAGAAAAAAUUCUGGUCAAAAACACGUAAGAUCUACCACUUUCACCAUUGUUAAGUGUCUAAUUCAGGAGUAUUAACUAUACUCACAUUGUGAUACAACAAAAGAGCGUGUCUUUUUAUAUUCUUAGGACCUAGCACAGUGUCUGGCACAUAACCUUUGUAAGUAUUGGCUGAAGAAUUGCAGAGUACAUGCCUUUGCAAAGGCCUGAACAGAGGUUCAGUGCUGUCCAUUACCACUCUCUCACAGGUCCACUGGGGCUUUACAGACAGCCUUGAAUGAAAGCUCUUGAGUCUAGAGAAGUGGGUUACAAAGGUUUACAAAAUAAUCUAUUAAGAGUAGCAAAUAUAGGCCGGGCGCGGUGACUCACACCUGUAAUCCCAGCACUUUGGGAGGCUGAGGCGGGUGGAUCACUUGAGGUCAGGAGUUUGAGACCAGCCUGGCCAAUACGGUGAAACCUCGCCUCUACCAAAAAUAUACAAAAAUUAUCCAGGUGUGGUGGCAUAUGCCUGUAAUCCCAGCUACUUGGGAGGCUGAGGCACAAGCAUCUCUUGUACCCGGGAGGCAGACAUUGCAGUCAGCCGAGAUUGCACCACUGCACUUCAGCCUGGGCGACAGAGCAAGACACCAUCUCGAAAAAAGAAAAAAAAAAACAACAAAAAUAAAGCUUAAUCCACAUGGCAUGUGGAUUGGCAGUAGCACAUAAAUAUGAUAAGUAUACAAAUAUUUGGAAGUGCUGCCUGUCCAUUUGUUGCUGAUUACGUGGAGAUCACUUGUCUAGGACCCUGGGAUAGACUGAUGUUUCUAACUCUGCUGAACAGGGUCUCUCCCAGCCUCCAGACUCUUUCUUCCUUCAGUUCAGGGAACCCUCAGUACACAGUAAGAAUGAAGAGGUUGCAGGUAUGAGCUUGAGGAGGCCUGAACAAGGGAGAGAAGCCCUGCCAGGGCAUUCUGAGGACUGUGAAGAAGUGGAAUAUUGGCCACAGGCAUCUAGGUAGUUGAAUCAUAUCCAUUUCGGAGCACACUCCAAGCAGAGGAGAAAAAACUCACAUUCUGGCCCCCAGAUACAUUUCCAGUCUGUUAGUCAUAAAAUUGUGACACACCACCAGGGGUGCCCAAAGGGGUUUGUGAAUCAAGAUAGUUUGAGGAGAAUCCCUUUUCUGAUCCUCAGUUUUCUACGCUCUUUUUCCUAAAGGCGAUCUCCCUGAAAAGGUAUCUAAGACAAGGCAUCCCCUUUCCUACAUGCUAGGGAAAAGAGUUUUGCAAGAGAAAGCUGCCCCUCUCACCCAUGUGACCCCCACUCUGGGGCACUGCCCUAGGGGUAGAAAUCUCCAAGGCAUCAAACACAGUGACUUCUGGGGGUCAAGUGACCGGGGAGCAAGUCUUUCUGCAAGUCAAGUGGUUUCGCGCUCUGCUUUCAACAAAAUUGCAAGAGGCACUAAUCAAAUUGUCAGCGGAUCAUAAAAAAACAUUUUGAUAAUAACGUUAUUAGGCAUAUAACUUGGAAGAAGUUCAAAGAACUGAAUGACAUUCUCCUAACAAACUCAUUGGCUUCCACUUAUUUAUUUAUUUAUGUGGUCAGUGUUUCCCAAUGUUUAAACCUACAAAGACAAAACAUAGGAAUAAAAUUCAUGUUGACCCUUGUGUGAGUCUAGCAAUAAGUCACCCACAUACACGUACGUUAACUGGGAAGAAAACCUGCCCCAACCAUUUUAUGAAGAGAUGCAUUUCCAAUAAAAAUUUACUUUUUAUGUUUAAUAGUUGUUUAUCAAAUUUUAUAAUUAUU